rnacentral:rRNA from 1 species
AUUGAACGCUGGCGGCAGGCCUAACACAUGCAAGUCGAGCGGAGCGGCGGACGGGUGAGUAAUGCCUAGGAAUCUGCCUGGUAGUGGGGGAUAACGUCCGGAAACGGGCGCUAAUACCGCAUCCUAUCAGAUGCGCCUAGGUCGGAUUAGCUAGUUGGUGGGGUAAAGGCCUACCAAGGCGACGAUCCGUAACUGGUCUGAGAGGAUGAUCAGUCAAACUGGAACUUAGACAGGGUCCAGACUCCGACGGGAGGUAGCAGGGGGGAAUAUUGGACAAUGGGCGGAAGCCUGAUCCAGCCAUGCUGCGUGUGUGAAGAAGGUCUUCGGAUUGUAAAGCACUUUAAGUUGGGAGGCGGUACCAACAGAAUAAGCACCGGCUAACUUCGUGCCAGCAGCCGCGGUAAUUC